rnacentral:tRNA from 1 species
GCCGAUGUGGCGAAAUUGGUAGACGCGCUACGUUCAGGGCGUAGUGUCCGUACGGACAUGCUGGUUCGAGUCCAGUCAUCGGCA